UAGGACACAACCAGAAGACAAACGCCCCAACUGCCAUCUACUUUUUCCCUCUAGUCUCCUGUCCCUCACUGAACCAGAAGCCAGAGCCUACUGACAUAGCUGGAAUCUACUCUACAAGGUGUGAAAGACAAAAUACACCAGGACUCCUGGUUGGCAGUCA
rnacentral:lncRNA from 12 species